AGCAUUCGCUACUGUAAGUCGCUCUGGAUAAGAGUGUCUGCUAAAUGACUAAAA
rfam:Salmo salar isolate Sally breed double haploid chromosome ssa06, whole genome shotgun sequence.